ACUCCUACGGGAGGCAGCAGUGGGGAAUAUUGCACAAUGGGCGAAAGCCUGAUGCAGCGACGCCGCGUGAGGGAUGACGGCCUUUGGGUUGUAAACCUCUUUCAGUAGGGAAGAAGCGAAAGUGACGGUACCUGCAGAAGAAGCGCCGGCUAACUACGUGCCAGCAGCCGCGGUAAU
rnacentral:rRNA from 1 species